GUGAACGCUGGCGGUAGGCCUAACACAUGCAAGUCGAACGGCAGCACAGUAAGAGCUUGCUCUUACGGGUGGCGAGUGGCGGACGGGUGAGGAAUACAUCGGAAUCUACUUUUUCGUGGGAGAUAACGUAGGGAAACUUACGCUAAUACCGCAUACGACCUACGGGUGAAAGCAGGGGAUCUUCGGACCUUGCGCGAUUGAAUGAGCCGAUGUCGGAUUAGCUAGUUGGCGGGGUAAAGGCCCACCAAGGCGACGAUCCGUAGCUGGUCUGAGAGGAUGAUCAGCCACACUGGAACUGAGACACGGUCCAGACUCCUACGGGAGGCAGCAGUGGGGAAUAUUGGACAAUGGGCGCAAGCCUGAUCCAGCCAUACCGCGUGGGUGAAGAAGGCCUUCGGGUUGUAAAGCCCUUUUGUUGGGAAAGAAAAGCAGCAGGUUAAUACCCCGCUGUUCUGACGGUACCCAAAGAAUAAGCACCGGCUAACUUCGUG
rnacentral:rRNA from 1 species